UACGUAGGGUGCAAGCGUUAAUCGGAAUUACUGGGCGUAAAGCGUGCGCAGGCGGUUGUGUAAGACAGAUGUGAAAUCCCCGGGCCCAACCUGGGAACUGCAUUUGUGACUGCAUGGCUGGAGUGCGGCAGAGGGGGAUGGAAUUCCGCGUGUAGCAGUGAAAUGCGUAGAUAUGCGGAGGAACACCGAUGGCGAAGGCAAUCCCCUGGGCCUGCACUGACGCUCAGGCGCGAAAGCUAGGGGAGCGAACAGG
rnacentral:rRNA from 1 species